UGGGGAAUCUUGCACAAUGGGGGCAACCCUGAUGCAGCGACGCCGCGUGAGCGAUGAAGCCCUUCGGGGUGUAAAGCUCUUUCGGCAGGAACGAUUAUGACGGUACCUGAAGAAGAAGCUGCGGCUAACUACGUGCCAGCAGCCGCGGUAAUACGUAGGCAGCGAGCGUUGUUCGGAGUUACUGGGCGUAAAGAGUGCGUAGGCGGUUUCGUAAGUCUGGUGUGAAAUCUCCCGGCUCAACUGGGAGGGUGCGCCGGAAACUGCGGAGCUGGAGUGUGGGAGAGGCAAGCGGAAUUCCUGGUGUAGCGGUGAAAUGCGUAGAUAUCAGGAGGAACACCUGCGGUGUAGACGGCUUGCUGGACCACUACUGACGCUGAGGCACGAAAGCGUGGGGAGCAAACAGG
rnacentral:rRNA from 1 species